ensembl:snRNA U6 U6 spliceosomal RNA
GUACUCACUUCAGUGGCACACAUCCUAAAAUCGGAAUGACACAGAGAGGUUUAACAAGUCCCCUGCACAAGGAUGACAUGAAAAUUUCUGAAGUAUUCCACAAACGC